rnacentral:rRNA from 1 species
UUUUUUGGAGGGCAAAGUCUGGUGCCAGCAGCCGCGGUAAUUCCAGCUCCAAUAGCGUAUAUUAAAGUUGUUGCAGUUAAAAAGCUCGUAGUUGAAUUUCGGGAUCAGUUCGCUGGUCGUGCCUCUGGUAUGUACUGGUGUUACUGGUUCCUCCCUUCUGAAGAACUGUCAUGUCAUUAAUUUGGUGUGGCGGGGAAUCAGGACUGUUACUUUGAAAAAAUUAGAGUGUUUAAAGCAGGCUCGCGCUUGAAUACAUUAGCAUGGAAUAAUGAAAUAGGACGUUUGAUCCUAUUUUGUUGGUUUCUAGGAUUGACGUAAUGAUUAAUAGGGAUAGUUGGGGGCAUUAGUAUUCAAUUGUCAGAGGUGAAAUUCUUGGAUUUAUUGAAGACUAACUACUGCGAAAGCAUUUGCCAAGGAUGUUUUCAUUAAUCAAGAACGAAAGUUAGGGGAUCGAAGACGAUCAGAUACCGUCGUAGUCUUAACCAUAAACUAUGCCGACUAGGGAUCGGAUGAUGUUAAUUUUUUAAUGACUCAUUCGGCGCCNUUACGGGAAAACAAA